rnacentral:lncRNA from 1 species
GAGGCGCCUGCCUUUCCACGUGGCGCCGAGGGUCUUGGUGCUGGUGCUGUGGGUCUCCGCGCAGCUCUGUGAUCUGCCCUGCCUUGUCCUGUCCCAGGAGGAGCCUUCCACACAGCACCCUAAGGAGGAAGAUCUGAAGCAGCUCCAUGUCUGAAUUCACAUUUCCAUCUGCUGCUCACCGUGGUUUUUCAUAGAUGGCGCCAUGGAGACAAGGCUUGGACGAGAUCUGAAAGCAAGGAGCACCGCAUAGCGCCCCCAGUGGUGAGACCCUCAAAGUGGACAGAAGGCUUCUUGCGCUACAAGGAAAAUGAACAGGUCAAUACUUAGGGUUAAAUUUGGGACUUAAGACAGCUGGAAAAACACGGGAAGAUUUUGUCAAAACACUCUAAGUUAGUGAAUUAGCA